rnacentral:lncRNA from 1 species
GUAACUUACAAGAUGAUAAUUCAUGUGGUUGCCGAUGAUUCUGAGUAUACACAGCUUUUAUCCCAGGUGUGCCAUUUUGAAGACUGAGACUAUAGAGUUUUAAGAAUAAAGGAGAGAGCCCUUGGGAAAUUCUGUAUUGUAUAUAGCAACUUUAAAGGAUUAACAUAACAAAAUGUUGCAGCUAGUCACGAGUGUUUUUGGAUCAUAACUUGACAUAGUUUUUAGCAUAUAAAAUAGGAAUGUGAAUCCUUAAAUGGAAUGAAAAGCCUAUACCAUAGACAUCGAAGCCUUUACACCCCGCUUGAAGAGUUUGAAAUGGACUUUACCACAGAAAUCAAGAUGGCAGCCCAUUAUGGGGAAUUGAGGAAAAUGGAUUAAUGCAAGAAUGCUGUAAUAUUACACAACCAACACAGGAUUCUUUUAAUGUGGAU